rnacentral:rRNA from 1 species
UACGUAGGGGGCGAGCGUUACCCGGAUUUACUGGGCGUAAAGCGUGCGCAGGCGGUUUGCUAAGACAGGUGUGAAAUCCCCGGGCUUAACCUGGGAACUGCGCUUGUUACUGGCAGGCUUGAGUGUGGCAGAGGGGGGUGGAAUUCCACGUGUAGCAGUGAAAUGCGUAGAGAUGUGGAGGAACACCGAUGGCGAAGGCAGCCCCCUGGGCUAACACUGACGCUCAUGCACGAAAGCGUGGGGAGCAAACAGG